UGGGGAAUAUUGCACAAUGGGGGAAACCCUGAUGCAGCAACGCCGCGUGAGUGAAGAAGCUCUUCGGAGCGUAAAACUCUGUCCUAAGGGAAGAAGCCUGACGGUACCUUAGGAGGAAGCCCCGGCUAACUACGUGCCAGCAGCCGCGGUAAUACGUAGGGGGCGAGCGUUAUCCGGAAUUACUGGGCGUAAAGCGUGCGUAGGCGGUCAUGCAAGCUUGGGGUUUAAAGCUGCGGCUUAACCGCAGUGCGCCCUUAGAACUGUAUGGCUUGAGUGCAGGAGAGGAGAGUGGAAUUCCUAGUGUAGCGGUGAAAUGCGUAGAGAUUAGGAGGAACACCAGUGGCGAAGGCGACUCUCUGGACUGUAACUGACGCUGAGGCACGAAAGCGUGGGGAGCAAACAGG
rnacentral:rRNA from 1 species